GAUAAACGCUGGCGGCGUGCUUAACACAUGCAAGUCGAACGAAGUUUUUCCUUCGGGAGAAACUUAGUGGCGGACGGGUGAGUAACGCGUGGGUAACCUGCCCUGUACAGGGGGACAACAGCUGGAAACGGCUGCUAAUACCGCAUAAGCCCUUAGCACUGCAUGGUGCAUAGGGAAAAGGAGCAAUCCGGUACAGGAUGGACCCGCGUCUGAUUAGCCAGUUGGCAGGGUAACGGCCUACCAAAGCGACGAUCAGUAGCCGAUCUGAGAGGAUGUACGGCCACAGUGGGACUGAGACACGGCCCAGACUCCUACGGGAGGCAGCAGUGGGGAAUAUUGCACAAUGGAGGAAACUCUGAUGCAGCGACGCCGCGUGAGUGAAGAAGUAUUUCGGGAUGUAAAGCUCUAUCAGCAGGGAAGAAAAUGACGGUACCUGACUAAGAAGCACCGGCUAAAUACGUG
rnacentral:rRNA from 1 species